AUCUGCCCCAGCGGCCCCGGGAGGGGGGCAGGUGGGAUGCUCGCUGCCCCAGAGGGGAUGGGGGGUCAGAACCCAGCAAUAACUCCCCUCCAUCCCCCCCUCUUUCUUCCUUCCCGGCACCGAGCGAUGGGGAAAUGAGGGGAUCCGAGGGGAAGGAUGACACAUGUUCAGCCCAACCCAGUGGCAGAGCAGCCGGGGAGGCAGAGCCAAUAGCUGCUUUUCAUGCUCAGUGAGUCCGUCCACCUCCACCCCCCCCCCUCUUCCUCGAGUCCUUAAGUUGCAGCUUUUAACUACCUCGGUGUUCAAAGAAAAUAUGAUGCUCAGCGUGAACAGAAGGAAGAGCCUGCUGACAGGUAGACAGCAUGGACACUGAUCCCGGCAGGGCCGGCUGCUGAGAGAGGUCUCCCCGGGGGUGCUCCCGAGCCUCUCCUGCCCCAGGGGAUGCCCCAGUUCACCUUCGCUUGCUUCUGCGGGCUCCAUGGCUUCUGCAAGAUGAAGAGGAAGAAAGAAGAGUCCAGCGCGGAGCAGGAGACGGCAGUGUGAGGAGAGGACUCGUGUGUGUGCCCUGCUGAGCCGUGCCUCGGGACCCCCUGUCCCCUUCCCCUCGAUACUUGCAUGGCUGGGGGAGAGCCCGAGCACGGGAAUGACCUUGCUGAGAUGUAGAAGCAGGUGCUGUGGAUGUUAUCAAGGUGCUGCACCAAUUCUACCCCCUGACACUCAGCCCAGCCAGGCAUGGAGCCCUGGGGAGCCGAGCAGCUGCUGUCGGAGGGACCCUGGGUCCCAGCCGGGUAGAGAUUUCCCUCCUGAGCGAGUCGACCUGCCCUUGCUCCAACAAGUCUCAACAGACAGACCUGGAGAGGUUUCCAAAAGCCGGGGCCAGACCCUGUCCCUCCUGGAGUCGUGGUGCCGGAGAGGCUGGUCCCUGGCUGCUAUCACCUGAAAAUCACCGCCUUUUCUCCCUCGCGAGGGCAGGAUUUUUUCCCAGCUGCUCGACGUUCCCGUGCUGACCCGCUGCCCUCCUGGGGGAUUGAGCAGAGAAAUACCGAGGGCAGCCUGAUAAAAUCUGCAGGGUCACGGUCCGGCUCCAUCCUCCCAGCCCGUCCCUGCUCGCCUCUGCCUUCCAAAAACAACCCGUCUUUGUGGCUGCCCCAAAACACGGCAUUUUCCAGAAGGUUACCGGGAGGACAGAGCGCAGGCAGCUCCAGGUGGGCACAGGGAAGCUCACGCUGCUUUGGGAAAAUGCUGACCUUGUUCUAUUCCUAUUUUUGCACAUCAGCACAGCCUCCCGAAUUCAGGGUUUGCAGCCCCGGUGCUGUCCUUGGCGAGGACCUUUGGAGUUAUCUUUGGGCCAAAAAAAAAAAGAAAAAAAAAAAAAAAAAGAAGGAAGUUGGUGAAACACGAAGCGUAUUUUUUGAAUGUAACUUUAUUUUUGCACAGUUUCCCCCUGUAACGUGUGGUGACCCCGUGGUGAUGCACUCGUGGACUUCAACCACCAGGGAUUAACCACUGCCCUGGAGUUUAUUCCAGAAAAAAAAAGAAGAAAGUCAGUGAAACAGUGAAACGCAAAGCGUAUUUCUUGAAUGUAACUUUAUUUUUGCACAGUCCCCCCCCGUAACGUGUGGUGACCCCGUGAGUGAUGCACUCGUGGACUUCAACCACCGGGGAUUAACCACUGCCCUGGAGUUUAUUCCAAGUGUAAAGAUACGGGUGAAACUCAACCUUUGCUUUAUGCUGGUCUAAAUCCAGAGAGACAGUCUGUGUACCGAGGUGUCUACAAAAAUAUUAAUUUAUACAAAAAUAUUAAUUAUGCAGAGAUGAGCUUGGACUGGACCCCAACACUCAGAUUUCUCCUGGAUGUGUCUCAGACCCAACCCUAUGCAAAAGCAGGUACGCAACAAGCACAAGGAGGAGAAGAGGGGGUUACAGCAGGCACACGCUCAGGAAGCCCUGAGUCAACACAGCCCCGCUUAAAUUUUAGUGUUUGCUUUGGGAUUUUGCUCGAUCCGAUAAAUUUGCCUAAUUCCCCCCUAAUAAAACUGUAUCGAUCCCUGCGGAAGUGCA
rnacentral:lncRNA from 1 species